rfam:Pteropus alecto contig96792, whole genome shotgun sequence.
GGUUCCAUAGUAUAGCGGUUAGCAUGUCUGCUUUACACACAAAAGGUCCUGGGUUUGUGACCCAGUGGAGCCA